CAGUCGAACGGACUUAAUAUGAAACCUAGUGAUUGUUAAGUUAGUGGCGGACGGGUGAGUAACGCGUGGAUAACCUGCCGUAUGCAGGGGGAUAACAGUUGGAAACAGCUGCUAAUACCGCAUAAGCGCACGGUGCCGCAUGGUACAGUGCGAAAAGAUUUAUCGGCAUACGAUGGAUCCGCGUCCGAUUAGCCAGUUGGCGGGGUAACGGCCCACCAAAGCGACGAUCGGUAGCCGGCCUGAGAGGGCGGACGGCCACAUUGGGACUGAGACACGGCCCAAACUCCUACGGGAGGCAGCAGUGGGGAAUAUUGCACAAUGGGGGGAACCCUGAUGCAGCGACGCCGCGUGAGUGAAGAAGUAUCUCGGUACGUAAAGCUCUAUCAGCAGGGAAGAAAAUGACGGUACCUGACUAAGAAGCCCCGGCUAACUACGUGCCAGCAGCCGCGGUAAUACGUAGGGGGCAAGCGUUAUCCGGAUUUACUGGGUGUAAAGGGAGCGUAGACGGCACUGCAAGUCCGGAGUGAAAGCCCAAGGCUUAACCAUGGGACUGCUCUGGAAACUGUGGAGCUUGAGUGCGGGAGGGGCAGGCGGAAUUCCUAGUGUAGCGGUGAAAUGCGUAGAUAUUAGGAGGAACACCGGCGGCGAAGGCGGCCUGCUGGACCGUAACUGACGUUGAGGCUCGAAAGCGUGGGGAGCAAACAGGAUUAGAUACCCUGGUAGUC
rnacentral:rRNA from 1 species